rnacentral:rRNA from 1 species
GACGAACGCUGGCGGCGUGCUUAACACAUGCAAGUCGAACGAAGAGCGAUGGAAGCUUGCUUCUAUCAAUCUUAGUGGCGAACGGGUGAGUAACGCGUAAUCAACCUGCCCUUCAGAGGGGGACAACAGUUGGAAACGACUGCUAAUACCGCAUACGAUCCGACCUCGGCAUCGAGGAUGGAUGAAAGGUGGCCUCUAUUUAUAAGCUAUCACUGAAGGAGGGGAUUGCGUCUGAUUAGCUAGUUGGAGGGGUAACGGCCCACCAAGGCAAUGAUCAGUAGCCGGUCUGAGAGGAUGAACGGCCACAUUGGGACUGAGACACGGCCCAGACUCCUACGGGAGGCAGCAGUGGGGAAUCUUCCGCAAUGGACGAAAGUCUGACGGAGCAACGCCGCGUGAGUGAUGACGGCCUUCGGGUUGUAAAGCUCUGUUAAUCGGGACGAAAGGUCUUCUUGCGAAUAGUUAGAAGUAUUGACGGUACCGGAAUAGAAAGCCACGGCUAACUACGUG